CAUGCGAGUCGAAUGUAGCAAUACAUGGCGUACUGCUCAGUAACACGUGGAUACCUACCCUUGAGAUGAGGAUAACCCGGGAAACUGGGUAUAAUACCCAAUAGAUCUCGACUGCUGGAAUGCAUCGAGCUCCAAGGCUCCGGCGCUCAAGGAUGGGUCUGCGGCCUAUCAGGUAGUAGUGGGUGUAGUGUACCUACUAGCCUACGACGGGUACGGGUUGUGAGAGCAAGAGCCCGGAGAUGGAUUCUGAGACACGAAUCCAGGCCCUACGGGGUGCAGCAGGCGCGAAAACUUUACAAUGCUGGAAACAGCGAUAAGGGGACCUCGAGUGCCAGGUUACAAAUCUGGCUGUCGUGAUGCCUAAAAAGCAUUGCAUAGCAAGGGCCGGGCAAGACCGGUGCCAGCCGCCGCGGGUAACACCGGCGGCUCGAGUGGUAACCGUUAUUAUUGGGUCUAAAGGGUCUGUAGCCGGCCGGAUAAGUCUCUUGGGAAAUCUGGCAGCUUAACUGUCAGGCUUUCAGGAGAUACUGUCUGGCUCGAGGCCGGGAGAGGUGAGAGGUACUUCAGGGGUAGGGGUGAAAUCUUGUAAUCCUUGAAGGACCACCAGUGGCGAAGGCGUCUCACCAGAACGGACCUGACGGCAAGGGACGAAAGCUAGGGGCACGAACCGGAUUAGAUACCCGGGUAGUCCUAGCCGUAAACGAUACUCGCUAGGUGUCGGCAACGGUGCGACCGUUGUCGGUGCCGUAGGGAAGCCGUGAAGCGAGCCACCUGGGAAGUACGGCCGCAAGGCUGAAACUUAAAGGAAUUGGCGGGGGAGCACCACAACGGGUGGAGCUUGCGGUUUAAUGGAUUCAACGCCGGAAA
rnacentral:rRNA from 1 species